AUGGAAUGUGUAAGCUCUGUGAAAUAUUCGGUAAAGUUUAAUGGUCGUCUGUUGGAGCAAUUUUCACCCUCCCGUGGAUUGCGACAAGGUGACCCCCUAUCUCCCUUCUUAUUCCUCUUUAUCGCUGAUGCUAUGUUAGCUCUGUUACAUAAUGCGGUUCAAAGAGGAGGUUUGGAGGCUAUCAAAAUUUGCAGAAGGGCGCCUGCUAUUUCACACUUGCACUGCGUUUGGAUGUCUCCAUUGGUGGCCUGGAAUCUGAAUUGUGAUCAAGCAGCGAUCGUCAAGGAUGUUCUGAACACUUAUGCUUCAGCGACGGGUCAACUCAUUAACCCUUCGAAGUGUUCCAUCCUAUUUUCCGACGGAUGCCCUGGUCUAGUUGUAGAUGAGGUCAAACAUAUUUUGGAGGUUUCGCAACAGGAGUUCGAACCAAAAUAUCUGGGUCUUCCUGUCGCAGAGGGGAGAAUGCAUAAAGGGCGGUUCAAAUCUUUGCAGUCUAGAUUGAGCAAGAGAUUGGUAGAUUGGAGUGAGAAGUUUUCCUCACAUGCUAGUAAGGAGGUGUUAAUAAAAUCCGUUGCGCAAGCUAUUCCAGUUUACGUCAUGAGUAUCUUUAAGCUCCCAUUCUUUGUUUGUGAUGACUUAACAAAGAUGAUGAGACAAUAUUGGUGGGGUGUGGAGAAUGGUAGAAAGAAGAUGGCAUGGGUGGCUUGGGAUAAAUUAGUCUUGCCAAAGUCUAAAGGGGGCAUUGGCUUUCGGGACAUGAGAGCUUACAACCAAGCUUUGCUGGCCAAGCAAGCUUGGAGGCUUUUAACAGCCCCGGAAUCACUUUCUACGAGGCUCCUUCGAGCUAAAUAUUUUCCUAACGGGAACCUCGUGGAUACGGUAUUCCCAAAUAACAGUUCGGCGAUAUGGAAAGGAAUUGAACAUGGUCUGGAUUUAUUA
rnacentral:rRNA from 1 species